AGCUUGUCACAGAGAAAAUACUUUCCCUCGCUCCGUUCACACACACACACCUGUCAGUCUACACACCUGUCUGUCUUUACCUAUACUCUCACCUGCUCUCACUCUACCUGUGUGGGAUUCUCUGUCGUUUGGGAGACCGUCUGUGGAUACAGUAUCCAGAGAAAGGAGCCAGUUAGAGGAAUCACAGGAACCAGAUUGGGAGCCAGUGGAAGAAUCACAGGAACCAGAUUGGGAGCCAGUGGAAGAAUCACAGGAACCAGAUUACAACCACCUACUAUGUCAAAAGAGGGGGAAAGAGCAUCAGUGUUGAAAACACACACUAAGGUU